rnacentral:rRNA from 1 species
UCAAAACGACUCUCGGCAACGGAUAUCUCGGCUCUCGCAUCGAUGAAGAACGUAGCGAAAUGCGAUACUUGGUGUGAAUUGCAGAAUCCCGUGAACCAUCGAGUCUUUGAACGCAAGUUGCGCCCGAAGCCAUUCGGCCGAGGGCACGCCUGCCUGGGCGUCAC